rnacentral:rRNA from 1 species
CCUACGGGAGGCUGCAGUGGGGAAUUUUGGACAAUGGGGGAAACCCUGAUCCAGCAAUGCCGCGUGAGUGAAGAAGGCCUUCGGGUUGUAAAGCUCUUUCAGUUGAGAAGAAAAGAUUGUGACUAAUAAUCAUAAUUAAUGACGGUAUCAACAGAAGAAGCACCGGCUAACUACGUGCCAGCAGCCGCGGUAAUACGUAGGGUGCGAGCGUUAAUCGGAAUUACUGGGCGUAAAGGGUGCGCAGGCGGUUAUGUAAGUCAGAUGUGAAAUCCCCGGGCUUAACCUGGGAAUUGCGUUUGAAACUACAUGACUAGAGUGUAACAGAGGGAAGUGGAAUUCCAUGUGUAGCAGUGAAAUGCGUAGAGAUAUGGAGGAACAUCGAUGGCGAAGGCAGCUUCCUGGGUUAACACUGACGCUCAUGCACGAAAGCGUGGGGAGCAAACAGGAUUAGAUACCCCAGUAGUC